rnacentral:tRNA from 1 species
UGUAAUGUGCCUGAUUAAAGGGUGAUUAUGAUGUAAUCAAAAAUGUGUUUUCACCAUUGCAU